AAAGUCAGCGGAGAGACGCGGGCUCAUGAAAUAAAAAUUUUGUCGCCCACCCUGAUUUGACCACCACGAUUGGGAGUAUAGACCUACUGUAUCUAUGAAAAUAUCGGAACUAUUUUCCUAACAUAAACACUUUUUUAAAAUUUUAUUUAUUAAACAAUCUGCAAGCUUCCGUGUUUGCGGAUGGUGAAAUAGCGACAGAAAAGGAAACAUUUCAUGACUCCGAUGAAGGGAAAGUUUACAACAGAGUUGUGUUGAAAUUGAAUGCAAUGCCAUGCAAAGUUAAUGAAAACUAUGGUAUAUGCCGUUGUUGAGUCAUGCUCAUAAACCGCAGAGUUACGUAAAGGGAAGCAGUAAAUACGUAGUUUGGUCAACCAUUGUAUCCGUUCCCAUGCGGUUAACACCCAAGGAACAGUUAUUGACGUUAGUAGAAUUUCCUUAUAUACCUUAUAUAGUUAGAUUAGAUGAAUUAUUUUGACCAAUAAUAUUAUUUGCUAAUUGUAGAGAAUAUUAUAAAUACUGCCUUGUAAAAUAAUAAAAAUCAGUUCAUUCACUAA